CGCGCUGCCAGGUGAGAUUUGGGGCGAAUUCGGGGGAUUUUGGGGCAUUUUGGGGGAUUUGGGGUCAUACUGGGGGGUAUUGGGGUCAUAUUGGGAGUCAUACAGGGGGAUUUGGGGGCAUUGGGGUGACCCCCGGCACAUGGUGCUGCUGCGCGGCAUCGCCCUGCCAGGUGAGUUUUGGGGCAAAUUCGGGGGAUUUUGGGUCAUUUUGGGUCAUUUGGGGGGAUAUUGGGGAGUUAUGGGGUCAUACUGGGGGGUAUUGGGGUCAUAUUGGGAGGUAUUGGGGUGAUACAGGGGGUAUUGGGGUGAGCCCCGGCACAUGGUGCUGCUCAGGGGCAUCGCCCUGCCAGGUGAGAUUUGGGGCAAAUUCGGGGGAUUUUGGGGCAUUUUGGGUCAUUUGGGGUCAUUUUGGGUCAUUUUGGGGGAUUUAGGGUCAUAAUGGGAGGUAUUGGGGUCAUACAGGGGGUAUUGGGUGACCCCCGGCACAUGGUGCUGCUGCGCGGCAUCGCGCUGCCAGGUGAGAUUUGGGGCGAAUUCGGGGGAUUUUGGGGCAUUUUGGGGGAUUUGGGGUCAUACUGGGGGGUAUUGGGGUCAUAUUGGGAGGUAUUGGGGUGAUACAGGGGGUAUUGGGGUGAC
rnacentral:lncRNA from 1 species